UUUCCGUAGGUGAACCUGCGGAAGGAUCAUUAUUGUAUAACCGAGGUGCGAGGGCUGUCGCUGACCCGAAAGGUCGUGCACGCCCGAGUGCCCUCACACACAUCCAUCUCACCCCUAUAUGCACCACCGCGUGGGUCCCCCUUUGGCUUGUUCGGAGGGGGGCUUACGUUUUCACACAAUCUUUGUAUGCAGUGUAGAAUGUAUUUUUUGUUUUUGCGAUCAAGCAAUCAAUACAACUUUCAACAACGGAUCUCUUGGCUCUC
rnacentral:misc_RNA from 1 species